AGAAGGCAAAGGGAGCAGACAGCUGGCAAGCUCUGUCCCAAUAUGCUUCCCUGAAAGAGGCGAGGAAAUUUCAGAAGAUGCAAUGCCUGAAUGGCUCACUUUGCAGGAAAACAGAAGAACCAAG
rnacentral:antisense_RNA from 1 species